AUUGAACGCUGGCGGAAUGCUUUACACAUGCAAGUCGAACGGCAGCACGGACUUCGGUCUGGUGGCGAGUGGCGAACGGGUGAGUAAUACAUCGGAACGUGCCCAGUCGUGGGGGAUAACGUAGCGAAAGCUACGCUAAUACCGCAUACGAUCUAAGGAUGAAAGCGGGGGAUCGCAAGACCUCGCGCGAUUGGAGCGGCCGAUGGCAGAUUGGGUAGUUGGUAGGGUAAAGGCCUACCAAGCCGACGAUCUGUAGCUGGUCUGAGAGGAUGAUCAGCCAGACUGGGACUGGGACACGGCCCAGACUCCUACGGGAGGCAGCAGUGGGGAAUUUUGGAGAACGGGCGCAAGCCUGAUCCAGCCAUUCCGCGUGCAGGAUGAAGGCCUUCGGGUUGUAAACUGCUUUUGUACAGAACGAAAAGGCUCUGGUUAAUACCCGGGGCUCAUGGCGGUACUAUAAGAAUAAGCACCGGCUAACUACGUGCCAGCCGCCGCCGUAG
rnacentral:rRNA from 1 species